ensembl:lncRNA
UGGAUUUGUGUCAGAGAGCUGUCAUCCGCUGAUAAUGACAGCGGUGUUUCUGGACGGACGAUCACGUGUGAGGUACCGCAUCUGUAUCCACAGUGUCACACAUGACACGGCUCAUCAUCUAUAUCUGGCCCUAAGUGAUAUUAUGCAGUUGCUAUGGUUAUCAGCUCAAUGACCUGAAGCUGGAGAACAACCAUGUGCACAUUUUGCAGGAGCCAUUAGAUGCCAUGCACCAUAAGCAAAGAGAUAAUGGCAUAUCAUUACCCACAAUGCCUUUUCUAACCCUCAUCUGAGAGAGGAGAGAGCUGGGGGAGAUGGAUGCUCCGCCAAAUGGGUCCUGACAGGACGGGGCAGGAGUGAUUUGGUAUGCAGAGGGUCUCUCACCUUGAGGGGCAAGGUAUUUGCUCUGGGAGUCUGUGUUAAGAGCAAGAUGUGCGUACGGCAUCUCCAAACACCCAGACAGGUGCUGAAUUUAACACCACGCCGCCUGAGAAAGCCCAUCAUAUCAUUUCCUCCUGCAGUAAUUAGUGUGGAAUGUUAGUUUUUCCAACAAAAAAUAGCAGUCAGUGUUGAUUUGUGUUAUGACCGGACAGGAAAUGGCCCGUCUUUAUAAUAAUACGUAGCAGAGAUUGGAAUGAAGCGGGUGAUUUUACAUGUGACUAUACUGGCUCUAACCUUUUAACCUUCAUAAUAAAAAUGGCCUCUGGUGGUAGAGCUAAAAAUGAACUUGAUAAUGUUCAUAAUGAAGCAGCAGCACAUCAAUAUUACGGAGGAAAGAUUCAUCUAAUGUGGACAGAACGACAUACUAAAAUACUCAAAGUCACAACUGAAUAGAAUAAGUCUACAGCAAUAGAAAUUGCAUAAAAAACAAUACAUUUCUAUUGACAAACAACUAGCACAAAUGUAACAAACUUAAAGCACAACACGUGUAGUCUGACUGACAAAAAAUGACCCUUAAAAACCUUUAAUGAAUUGGUUAAAAAGAUAUACAACUCUUUAAAUCAAUUGUUCAGAAAA